CGGGUGAGUAACGCGUGGGUAACCUGCCUUAUACAGGGGGAUAACAGUCAGAAAUGGCUGCUAAUACCGCAUAAGCGCACAGAGCUGCAUGGCUCAGUGUGAAAAACUCCGGUGGUAUAAGAUGGACCCGCGUUGGAUUAGCUUGUUGGUGGGGUAACGGCCCACCAAGGCGACGAUCCAUAGCCGGCCUGAGAGGGUGAACGGCCACAUUGGGACUGAGACACGGUCCAA
rnacentral:rRNA from 1 species